GUUUCGUCUCCAUGGAUAUCCCUCCAAUGAAACUGACAACUUUGUGUUCUUUAUAGUAGUGGGGAAUCUGUCCUGCUUUUCCAUAGCACAUGUCUGCUGGAGAUGGCAGCCUCCUAUGAGCACACUUUUGAGCUUGAUCAUUUGAAUUUGAGAACCCUUUGCAUUUGGACAUGCUGACCUACUUGCCCUGGUGCUUAGGAUUAGCAGGAAACUAUAUUUCUACUUGUCAUCAAAGGAUCAAAAAUUGAAAACUACGUGUGAAGAGUCAGGAUGCGUAUCACUCAGCUCUAUUUAGAUGCACAUAAAACCACUUUCUAACAUUUUUAAUAAUCCUGUGUAUAAAACAAACAGAGGAAAAUAUAUUGGAGUCAUCUUCAGCAGAAGACUCUUACUGUGUUAUGAAACUUUCUGCCGGCCUACAGCACAGCUUCUUCUGAGGUCUAAUCCGAGCGGAUGCAUGCCAUCAGUUCCAUGAAUUUGUUUUGCCUGUAGUAACACCUGCUGUGAAGCAGAGUGUAAGAAUUGGUGUUUAUGUGGCCUCUGGCUAUGCAAAACAACCCAUUUUUUUCUGCUGGCUACAGUAAUACUGUGAGCAAAGGCUCCUUCUCAACAUAGUCUUAUCCUUAAUGCAGCUCUAGGAUGAAGAAUACUAAAAUAAAGUGUAAGAAAGAAUAAUUGUGUUAUCCUGA
rnacentral:lncRNA from 1 species